ACAAUGCACUGUGUCUCUGGAGUUCUCGAGCACAACAAGUUUCAUUUACUGGCAAUUUGAUCAUUCUCUCGGACUUUGCCACAUUAUCAGGGACUCAUUUGAAUGAGUAAUCGUUUGGCUGCCAGCGCUGCUCGAAAGAUACGUUUCGAAUCCUUCCACUGAAUUGUGUUGGAGAACAAACUCUGUUUUGGAAGUCGUGCCUGAUAACAAGACCUCAUACGUUGCAUAUCAUAGAUGUGGACCAUGCUCUGAUUACACACCCAUAAAUCAAAUUUCAUGCCGCGGCGUGUGACACGUCUGUAUCCUGAAAAGUCUGGACGGAGUCAAAAAAUGAAAAUAAAGAUGUACGGGUGUACGAGGGGCUCUGAGGAAACCCAGACCACCUGGCUCCCCUGGCUCUCUUGACUUCGCCGUGUGAACAGGCCCCGGCACGAACCCCAGUUUGUGUUUUCAGUUUGCUGCAGCGGCAGUAAUGUAUCUGGAUGGGAACAAUUGUGCUUGUUUUGCCAUUACACUCCAGCCUGGGCCCGGUUCAACAUACCGACGGCUGCUAUUACGGCCGGAUGACGGCGGCCCCUUCGCCCGCUCUUCAAGCACGCCGCGCUCACUCAAAGCUCCGCGGCUGAGGUAAUGCCUGGGUCGCGGGCCAGAGCGCCGCGCUCGGAGGAGGGAUACCAAAUCAGACCUAAAUUUAGAGGAUUGUUAAGUAGACGCUGUAACAAUUCCAUCAAUCAGGCAGGCUGACUUUCCCCUCUCAUGUUUUACAAAAGCGGAUUUUCGACAUUUUGUUGCGGUGUGUCAUGGGUUACGUCACGGCCGCAGCUCAUGGGCAAAAGAGUUCUGCGGUGUCGCAUGUUGGAUGCCCGACUUCAACGUGAUGUUGACGUCUCCGCGGUUUGAAGUCCACAUGGCCGACAACUGAACCCCUCGUCGAUAAGCGAAGGGAGCCAUCACCCCCCCCCCCCCCCGGGAAAAGAGCCGAGGAGCAGGUCCAUCGCUAAUCCUCCGAACGUUUUGAUGCUUUGGUCUCGAUCUGGGGUGGACGGUACGAGCUCCUGGUAAAUACCGAGCUGACUGUAAAAUAUUAGCCCUCCUCCUACAGGGUGUCACAUGAGCCUGCCCCGGGGCAUCGCUGAACGCUCUUAAUGCCUUCCCGCCUGCUGCGAUGCCACUUUUCCCAGGAGCUGGACUGUCUGUCAAACUGCUUCCUUUGAGAGAUGAGGGAAAAUUCUCAAAAUGUCGAGUUGAACCUGCGCAGUAAAUCCCUUGGAUUGUCAACAGAGAGGUAGCCUAUACCUUGAAAACGGUUCGGCAAGGAAAACAAUAGGCGGACGGAGGCAAAGCAUCUAUCACUUGCGAGUGCAAUUUUCCCCCACUUCGAACCUGAAAUAUUGUGGCCGGGUGAACAAACAGUCUGAGAUCAAGGCAGAUAGAAACGGAGGAGUGGUUGAGCCUGUCUGAACGAUUACCAAGCCACUGAGCCACUGGAACUCAUCCAUUCCCAGUCGCUGCAAUGCUCGUUUUAUGGAAAUCACUCUCCUGCGAUGACCUCACUUCUCUAUCAAAUAACUCGGAGAUAAGUGAGUGGAGGUAACAUGCUGGGCUGCAAACAAAAACCCACAUUAUAAAUAGCCUCACAGACUGCUUCAGACUGCUGGGAGGAGAGAACUCGUUGCUUUACACACACACACACACACACACACACACACACACACACACACACACACACACACUGACAGUUGUACAUGUAGAGCAGCAACAGGGCUGGGUGAGGACACCCCCUUGCUGGAUCAGGAUUACCCCACUGCUGUAUCACCGACCAGUCAGAGUGAGUUAUGCAAUAUAUCUAUCUUCUCUCACUUUCCCCAUCACAAGAAGACGAAUGCUAAUUCAUAACCGAGCUAGAAUUCUGGAUGGUUCUGGCUUCCUUUUUAUGCCGAACCUCUCAUAAAGCGAAGCAAUCUGGAAAAAUAGAGCUAAAACAUAAAUAACAGUGAAAUAAUAUUGUGCCGUGUCAUUCGUAAAGGAUUGCAAACCUCGCUUGUCCUCUGCUUGACGUCCAAUUUUGAGUUCUUGUAACAGUUUCUGUGCUUCACUCCUACUUAGUGAUCAAAGUGUGGUAGAAAAGGAUGAAGAUAUUUCACUGAAGUAUGCAUUUGUGAUACUGGCUUCAAAAGCAUUGCAGUAUUAAGAUUCAUAACGGCAGGCUUUGGAUAGGUAACUUAAGAUGAUGAUAAUAGCCUGAGCAGAUGUUUGGGGUGAUGAGGCGAAGGUGAACUUGUUUGUCUAACUCGCGGGGAGAGGUGGCGAUUAAAGCUUGUGUGGCGGAGAAAAGGCUCGUGGUGAAAUUGAAAAUGAGUUGGGGGGGGGGGGGGCAAGAAAAUGGUGGGUGAAAGAGAGGUGAGAUGAGGAUGAAAGGUGAGAGACCCAUUAUGAUGCAGGGUUUCUGGAUUCCAUCUCACACACCUGCUGCCUACUUCUACUCCACUGUUAAUUUAGUCGACAUAACUACGGGCAGAAAUACCGCUGUACAGCUGGUUUUUUUUACAAAAUAAAAAAGUUGACU